rnacentral:rRNA from 1 species
AUGUUGCCUCGGCGGAUCAGCCCGCUCCCCGUAAAACGGGACGGCCCGCCAGAGGACCCAAACUCUAAUGUUUCUUAUUGUAACUUCUGAGUAAAACAAACAAAUAAAUCAAAACUUUCAACAACGGAUCUCUUGGUUCUGGCAUCGAUGAAGAACGCAGCAAAAUGCGAUAAGUAAUGUGAAUUGCAGAAUUCAGUGAAUCAUCGAAUCUUUGAACGCACAUUGCGCCCGCUGGUAUUCCGGCGGGCAUGCCUGUUCGAGCGUCAUUUCAACCCUCAAGCCCCCGGGUUUGGUGUUGGGGAUCGGCUCUGCCUCACGGCGGUGCCGCCCCCGAAAUACAUUGGCGGUCUCGCUGCAGCCUCCAUUGCGUAGUAGCUAACACCUCGCAACUGGAACGCGGCGCGGCCAUGCCGUAAAACCCCAACUUCUGAAUGUUGACCUCGGAUCAGGUAGGAAUACCCGCUGAACUUAAGCAUAUCAAUAAG